GUGGGGAAUUUUGGACAAUGGGGGCAACCCUGAUCCAGCAAUGCCGCGUGCAGGAAGAAGGCCUUCGGGUUGUAAACUGCUUUUGUACGGAACGAAACGGUCCUGGUUAAUACCUGGGGCUAAUGACGGUACCGUAAGAAUAAGCACCGGCUAACUACGUGCCAGCAGCCGCGGUAAUACGUAGGGUGCAAGCGUUAAUCGGAAUUACUGGGCGUAAAGCGUGCGCAGGCGGUUUUGUAAGACAGGCGUGAAAUCCCCGGGGUCAACCUGGGAAUGGCGCUUGUGACUGCAAGGCUGGAGUGCGGCAGAGGGGGAUGGAAUUCCGCGUGUAGCAGUGAAAUGCGUAGAUAUGCGGAGGAACACCGAUGGCGAAGGCAAUCCCCUGGGCCUGCACUGACGCUCAUGCACGAAAGCGUGGGGAGCAAACAGGAUUAGAUACCCCGGUAGUCC
rnacentral:rRNA from 1 species